rnacentral:lncRNA from 1 species
GGACUUUCAAUGUGUGAAUGGACAUAUAUAUGUGCAAAGGGCACCGCCAUGUCAGGGUCGUAUGGUAUUGUAUUGCUCGGGAUCUAAGCAACGCUGAUGCAAUAUGCUGCCUUGGCCUUUCGGACUCGGCAGUGGGGGUAUUCAUUCCCGGGAAGGCACAUGCAGGAGAGGCGUCAAGGAGGGGCCGCGGCCAAGGACAGGGGAAACCGGGGGCCACAAAACACAACCAUCAACUUCGCCACACUCCGCCAAACUCCGGCCCAUCCAUGCCAACUGCUCCACCAAGACUGCCCAACUCCUAAGAAGAAUGCCCAUGUAUGCAUCUUUCCGUUGUUUCAGAGUGGGAGGCUUCCGGGCCCAGGGAACACACACUUGGAAUGUCACAUCUAGGAUUGAACACCCUACAGCACCAUCCACCAUUACCACACUCUACUACGCCAUAAGACUGGAAGUCCAAGGCGGUUGAUCCUGCCUUCUAGGAUCCCUCCUCAUCCUUUCACUCGAACAUCCGCAGAGACAGAGGUUCCAGCAAUCGCCACCAAAGCAGUGUCUCCAGACCAGACUUCAUUUAACAUACGUUGUACGAAGGUAAAUUUCAAAGCCUGGACACAAACAGUUUCAGGAUCCAGUGCUCGUCAUGUCACCCCAGUGCGCAAUGACGAGCAUCCAUAACCUUUGAAAACCUAUACAAAUUUUGUGGUUGCAACUUGCUGAUGUGUGUGAAACAGGGGGGUAAAUCUUCACCCGUGGCAGCUACCCUGCGAAACCCUGCCUUCCCCGGUAUUUCGGGGCACCCUCAUCAAAUCACCCUAGUCAACUUAUCCGUGGAUCGCUCAGGUUCCGCACCCACCACCAGCAUCCGACGGAGUCUGCCGGAUCAUCAGCGGCCCAACUCCAAUCCUGGUCGGCUCGCAGGUCACCACCGUCCAUCAACUAGGGGUGCAAUACCUUCCAAUAUCGAAGGAUUCUGGACUCUAACAGGUCUCGAUCCCGGAAUCACCCGGGGGCAAUGGUCGUGCGUUGCCAGUGGUGCCUAACUCUGCCAGUGGUGCAUAACCCUUGCUGUAUACAAGUUUACAAGUUCCGCGCGAUUGCGGGGGGCCAUGGACUAUAUAUAUUGAAAGUUGAUUCCACCGUACAAUCGAAGGCCCUGCAACCUAGACAACUCCUGAUCCGUAGAGGCUUCAGCAUGUGAAACGUAAUUGUCCAUCAUCUAGAACUCAUCUCCACACCUCAGUAGCAAUUCGUAAACCUAAUUCUCCCGUAAUUCUCCUGUAAAUGGAGAUACGCUAGAGAACCUUGUUCACCAUGUUCGCGUAGAAAUUCGCAUCCUGGGAAAAGCAGCUCAAAACAUAAAGGAUUGUUUUUAUAGAAUCGGAUCUUAUGUAUGCCUCUGCAAGCCUGG